UAAUACGAAGGGGGCAAGCGUUGUUCGGAAUUAUUGGGCGCAAAGCGUGUGUAGGUGGUUGUUCAAGUCAGACGUGUAAGCCCUCGGCUCAACCGAGGAAUUGCGUUUGAAACUGAUCGACUUGAGUACAGGAGAGGAAAGCGGAAUUCCCAGUGUAGCGGUGAAAUGCGUUGAUAUUGGGAAGAACACCGGUGGCGAAGGCGGCUUUCUGGCCUGUUACUGACACUGAGAUACGAAAGCUAGGGGAGCAAAGGGGAUUAGAUACCCCCGUAGUCCUAGCCGUAAACGAUGGGCACUAGGUGCGGGGGGUAUUGAUCCCCUCUGUGCCGCAGCUAACGCAUUAAGUGCCCCCCUGGGGAGUACGGUCGCAAGGCUG
rnacentral:rRNA from 1 species